CAAUAGCGUAUAUUUAAGUUGUUGCAGUUAAAAGCUCGUAGUUGGAUUUCGGUUGAGAGCGGCCGGUCCGCCGUUUGGUGUGCACUGGCUGGUCUCAACUUUCCUGCGGAGGACGCGCUCUGGGCUUAACGGUCUGGACGUGGAGUCCGCGUGGUUACUUUGAAAAAUUAUGAGUGUUCAAAGCGGGCAUUACGCUUGAAUAUUUCAGCAUGGAAUAACACUAUAGGACUCCUGUCCUAUUUCGUUGGUCUCGGGACGGGAGUAAUGAUUAAGAGGAACAGUUGGGGCGAUUCGUAUUUCAUUGUCAGAGGUGAAAUUCUUGGAUUUCGUCACGACGAACUACUGCGAAAGCAUUUGCCAAGGAUGUUUUCAUUGAUCAAGAACGAAAGUAAGGGGAUCGAAGACGAUC
rnacentral:rRNA from 1 species